UGCGAAGGGGGCUAGCGUUGUUCGGAAUUACUGAGAGUAAAGGGCGCGUAGGCGGUCUUGUAAGUCAGAUGUGAAAGCCCCGGGCUUAACCCGGGAAUAGCAUUUGAUACUGCGAGGCUUGAGUCCGGGAGAGGAUGGCGGAAUUCCCAGUGUAGAGGUGAAAUUCGUAGAUAUUGGGAAGAACACCGGUGGCGAAGGCGGCCAUCUGGACCGGUACUGACUCUGAGGCGCGAAAGCGUGGGGAGCAAACAGG
rnacentral:rRNA from 1 species